CUGGAUCUCUCGGGGUUACAGCCUUGCUGAAUUAUUCACCCUUGUCUUUUGCGUACUUCUUGUUUCCUUGGUGGGUUCGCCCACCACUAGGACAAACAUAAACCUUUUGUAAUUGCAAUCAGCGUCAGUAACAAAUUAAUAAUUACAACUUUCAACAACGGAUCUCUUGGUUCUGGCAUCGAUGAAGAACGCAGCGAAAUGCGAUAAGUAGUGUGAAUUGCAGAAUUCAGUGAAUCAUCGAAUCUUUGAACGCACAUUGCGCCCUUUGGUAUUCCAAAGGGCAUGCCUGUUCGAGCGUCAUUUGUACCCUCAAGCUUUGCUUGGUGUUGGGCGUCUUGUCUCUAGCUUUGCUGGAGACUCGCCUUAAAGUAAUUGGCAGCCGGCCUACUGGUUUCGGAGCGCAGCACAAGUCGCACUCUCUAUCAGCAAAGGUCUAGCAUCCAUUAAGCCUUUUUUCAACUUUUGACCUCGGAUCAGGUAGGGAUACCCGCUGAACUUAAGCAUAUCAAAAG
rnacentral:rRNA from 1 species